UUAACUCAAAUUUGUAUGGAGUUGGAACGCUUGCCUAUGUUUACCGCUAGGGGCACUGUUCCAGCUACAUACAAAUAUGAGUGA
rfam:Bombyx mori DNA, contig: Bm_scaf3_contig3112, strain: p50T/Dazao, build 2, whole genome shotgun sequence.